rnacentral:rRNA from 1 species
AGUGAACGCUGGCGGUAGGCCUAACACAUGCAAGUCGAACGGCAGCACAGUAAGAGCUUGCUCUUACGGGUGGCGAGUGGCGGACGGGUGAGGAAUACAUCGGAAUCUACUUUUUCGUGGGGGAUAACGUAGGGAAACUUACGCUAAUACCGCAUAUGACCUACGGGUGAAAGCAGGGGAUCUUCGGACCUUGCGCGAUUGAAUGAGCCGAUGUCGGAUUAGCUAGUUGGCGGGGUAAAGGCCCACCAAGGCGACGAUCCGUAGCUGGUCUGAGAGGAUGAUCAGCCACACUGGAACUGAGACACGGUCCAGACUCCUACGGGAGACAGCAGUGGGGAAUAUUGGACAAUGGGCGCAAGCCUGAUCCAGCCAUACCGCGUGGGUGAAGAAGGCCUUCGGGUUGUAAAGCCCUUUUGUUGGGAAAGAAAAGCAGCAGGUUAAUACCCCGCUGUUCUGACGGUACCCAAAGAAUAAGCACCGGCUAACUUCGUG